GAUGAACGCUGGCGGCGUGCCUAAUACAUGCAAGUCGAGCGACCAGACAAUGAGCUUGCGCCUCUGACGUUAGCGACGGACGGGUGAGUAACACGUGGAUAACCAACCUAUAAUUCUGGGAUAAUUUCGGGAAACCGGAUCCAAUACUGGAGAAUAUAUUGAACCGCAGGGUGCAAUAGAUAAAGACGGCUUUGCUGACACAUUUAGCUGGAGCCGGGCUGCAUUAGUGAGUUGGUAAGGUAACGGCCUACCAAGGCAACGAUGCGUAGCCGACCUGAGGGGAUGAUCGGCCACACUGGAACUGAGACACGGUCCAGACUCCUACGGGAGGCAGCAGUAGGGAAUCUUCCGCAAAGGGCGCAAGCCUGACCCAGCCACACCGCGUGAGUGAUGAAGGUCUUCGGAUCGUAAAGCUCUGUUAUUAGGGAAGAAAAAAUGUAUAAGUAACUAUGCACGUCUUGACGGUACCUAAUCAGAAAGCAACGGCUAACUACGUG
rnacentral:rRNA from 1 species